rnacentral:rRNA from 1 species
GAAUAAGUUGUUGGUAAGGUAAUGGCUUACCAAGCUUGUGAUCUUUAGCAGGUUUGAAAAAAUGAUCUGCCACACUGGAAUUGAGAAUGGUCCAGACGUUCGGCAGCAGUGAGGAAUCUUGGACAAUGAGCGCAAGCUUGAUCCAGCAAUUCUGCGUGGGUGAUGACUGUUAUUUAAUUGUAAAACCCAUUUAUUUUUAGAAAAAAUGAUUCUAGAAAAAAAAGUUCUGACAAAUUACGUGCCAGCAGUCGCGGUAAAACGUAAAGAGCAAGCAUUACUUGGAUUUAUUGGGCGUAAAGCGUUUGUAGGUGGUUUCUUUUGUUAUUUGUAAAAGUGCAUAGCUCAACUAUGCAAAAUAAAUAUAACUAAGUUACUUGAGUUUUUAGAUAAGGAAAGUAGAAUUUCCAGCUUACAGUUAAAAUUGGUUGACUCUGGAAGGAAUAACGAUGGCGAAGGCAACUUUCUUGUUUUUAACUGACACUGAGAAACGAAAGUUCAGGGAGCAAACGGGAUUAGACACCCCGGUAGUCUGAACUGUAAACGAUGCAUGCUGAACGUAAAAAGUCUUUUAGGAGUCUUUAUACGUUUAAGUUAACACUAAGCAUGCCGCCUGGAGAGUAUCGCCGCAAGGCCGAAAUUCAAAGGAAUUGACGGGAGCUGAUUAAAGACAGUGGAGCAUGCGGGUUAAUUCGACAUUACGCGAAAACCUUACCAACUUUUGACAGUAACUUUUAAUGUUUAACAGGUGUUGCAUGGUUGUCGUCAGCUCGUGUUGUAAAAUGUCUGGUUAAGUCCUUUAACGAGCGCAACCCCCAUUGUAAAUAUCAUUUUUUGGUUUACAAAAUGGCCUAAGACAAUUAGGAUGAAAGAGGGGAUCACGUCAAAUCAUCAUGACCCUAAUAAGUUGGGCUGCACGCGUGCUACAAUGGUAAAGACAACGUGAAGCUAUGGGGCAACUCGGAGCAAGCAAAAAACUUUGCCUUAGUUCGGAUCAAAAAUUGCAACUCAUUUUUGUGAAGAUGGAAUUGUUAGUAAUCGCAAAUGAGAAUGUUGCGGUGAAAUUUAAUCUCAGCUUUGUACAUACCGCCCGUCACAUUACGAGAAUGAUAGGUGGCUGAAAAAGUAUUUUUUGUACUUUUAGGACAUUUAUGAUAAUUGUAAUGAAGUCGUAACAAGGUAGCUGUAAGUGAACUUGUAGCUGAAGU